rnacentral:tRNA from 1 species
AAGGAUUUAAGAUAAUCAGACUAAAGACCUUCAAAGCCUUAAGUAGAAGUUUAAACCUUCUAAUCCUUGUA